rnacentral:rRNA from 1 species
UAGUCCACGCCGUAAACGAUGGUUACUAGCUGUUCGUUCUACAUUGGUAGGAUGAGUGGCUAAGCGAAAGUGAUAAGUAACCCACCUGGGGAGUACGUUCGCAAGAAUGAAACUCAAAGGAAUUGACGGGGGCCCGCACAAGCGGUGGAGCAUGUGGUUUAAUUCGAUGAUACGCGAGGAACCUUACCAGGGCUUAAAUGCAGUAUGACAGAUUUGGAAACAGAUUUUUCUUCGGACAUAUUGCAAGGUGCUGCAUGGUUGUCGUCAGCUCGUGCCGUGAGGUGUCAGGUUAAGUCCUAUAACGAGCGCAACCCCUGUUGCUAGUUGCCAGCGAUUAAAGUCGGGGACUCUAGUGAGACUGCCGGUGCAAACCGUGAGGAAGGUGGGGGAUGACGUCAAAUCAUCACGGCCCUUACGUCCUGGGGCUACACACGUGCUACAAU